UAGUCCCUGAAUCUGUUAGGGUGUUGUAUUUGGGAAGAACCAACACCAUAAAAAAGGGAGUUUGACUCUAGGCGUCUAAUGCAAGCCUCCUAAAGAGGAAGCAUGAACCGUUUAGGCGAACACCCACCGUGUUUGAUGCGGUUCUUUUCCAAAUCCGCCCUAAUGGUUCAGGGAUUUU
rnacentral:other from 1 species